UUUGAUCAAUAGCUGAUCUGAGAGGAUGAUCAGCCACAUUGGGACUGAGACACGGCCCAAACUCCUACGGGAGGCAGCAGUAGGGAAUAUUGCACAAUGGAGGAAACUCUGAUGCAGCGAUGCCGCGUGAGUGAAGAAGGCCUUUGGGUUGUAAAGCUCUUUCGUCGGGGAAGAAAAUGACUGUACCCGAAUAAGAAGGUCCGGCUAACUUCGUGCCAGCAGCCGCGGUAAUACGAAGGGACCUAGCGUAGUUCGGAAUUACUGGGCUUAAAGAGUUCGUAGGUUGUUAAAAAAGUUGGUGGUGAAAUCCCAGAGCUUAACUCUGGAACUGCCAUCAAAACUUUUUAGCUAGAGUUUGAUAGAGGAAAGCAGAAUUUCUAGUGUAGAGGUGAAAUUCGUAGAUAUUAGAAAGAAUACCAAUUGCGAAGGCAGCUUUCUGGAUCAUUACUGACACUGAGGAACGAAAGCAUGGGUAGCGAAGAGGAUUAGAUACCCUCGUAGUCCAUGCCGUAAACGAUGUGUGUUAGACGUUGGAAAUUUAUUUUCAGUGUCGCAGCGAAAGCAUUAAACACACCGCCUGGGGAGUACGACCGCAAGGUUAAAACUCAAAUGAAUUGACGGGGACCCGCACAAGUAGUGGAGCAUGUGGUUUAAUUCGAAGAUACGCGCAGAACCUUACCAACACUUGACAUGUUCGUCGCGACUUUAAGAGAUUAAAGUUUUCGGUUCGGCCGGACGAAACACAGGUGCUGCAUGGCUGUCGUCAGCUCGUGUCGUGAGAUGUUGGGUUAAGUCCCGCAACGAGCGCAACCCUCACUUUUAGUUGCCAUCAUUAAGUUGGGCACUCUGAAAGAACUGCCAGUGAUAAGCUGGAGGAAGGUGGGGAUGACGUCAAGUCCUCAUGGCCCUUACGUGUUGGGCUACACACGUGCUACAAUGGCAUUUACAUAGGAA
rnacentral:rRNA from 1 species